rnacentral:rRNA from 1 species
ACUGAUCAGCCAUGCCGCGUGUGUGAAGAAGGCCUUCGGGUUGUAAAGCACUUUCAGCGAGGAAGAACGCCUAGUGGUUAAUACCCAUUAGGAAAGACAUCACUCGCAGAAGAAGCACCGGCUAACUCCGUGCCAGCAGCCGCGGUAAUACGGAGGGUGCAAGCGUUAAUCGGAAUUACUGGGCGUAAAGCGCGCGUAGGUGGCUUGAUAAGCCGGUUGUGAAAGCCCCGGGCUCAACCUGGGAACGGCAUCCGGAACUGUCAAGCUAGAGUGCAGGAGAGGAAGGUAGAAUUCCCGGUGUAGCGGUGAAAUGCGUAGAGAUCGGGAGGAAUACCAGUGGCGAAGGCGGCCUUCUGGACUGACACUGACACUGAGGUGCGAAAGCGUGGGUAGCAAACAGGAUUAGAUACCCUGGUAGUCCACGCCGUAAACGAUGUCGACCAGCCGUUGGGUGCCUAGCGCACUUUGUGGCGAAGUUAACGCGAUAAGUCGACCGCCUGGGGAGUACGGCCGCAAGGUUAAAACUCAAAUGAAUUGACGGGGGCCCGCACAAGCGGUGGAGCAUGUGGUUUAAUUCGAUGCAACGCGAAGAACCUUACCUACUCUUGACAUCCUGCGAACUUGUGAGAGAUCACUUGGUGCCUUCGGGAACGCAGAGACAGGUGCUGCAUGGCUGUCGUCAGCUCGUGUUGUGAAAUGUUGGGUUAAGUCCCGUAACGAGCGCAACCCUUGUCC